UAUACUUCUCCAUCUCUAAGUCAAAGCAGCAAAAUAUUCAAUAAGCAGCUCCAACAUGGCCCCAGGCUAAUGGCAGUAAUUAAAUCCAGAAUACAUAGGACUCCAUGGUGGCAUUCCAUAAGGAGAAUUCUAUAAACAUAUCACCUUUCCGGCCACACAUUUUUUUUCUUCCAGAAAUUAAUGUUUACCCUGUAGGAAAGUGCUGGGCAUUUUAAUUUUUUCCUGAAACUUUACAUUCUUAUCACCCUCCUAGCUUUCUUUUAGCAGGUAAUUAACUCAUAAGAAUCUUAAGAUUCAUAUAUUGGCCAGACCAAUGCCAUCACUGUCUAUUUGCUAUAGAGAAGGGGUCCACUGAGAGUCAGAGUAGUCCUGCAGCCUCAUGACUGUGACAAGUGGUACCCAGAGAGGUUUCCAAUGCCAGUGGCAGGCACGUGACCUUGGGCCCU
rnacentral:lncRNA from 1 species